rnacentral:rRNA from 1 species
UCUCUUAGUCAUGAAAUCGAGUAGGACGGAGCACGAGAAACUUUGUCUGAAUAUGGGGGGACCAUCCUCCAAGGCUAAAUACUACUGACUGACCGAUAGUGAACUAGUACCGUGAGGGAAAGGCGAAAAGAACCCCGGAGAGGGGAGUGAAAUAGAUCCUGAAACCGUAUGCGUACAAGCAGUGGGAGCAGACUUUGUUCUGUGACUGCGUACCUUUUGUAUAAUGGGUCAGCGACUUAUAUUCAGUGGCGAGCUUAACCGAAUAGGGGAGGCGUAGCGAAAGCGAGUCUUAAUAGGGCGUUUAGUCGCUGGGUAUAGACCCGAAACCGGGCGAUCUAUCCAUGGGCAGGUUGAAGGUUAGGUAACACUGACUGGAGGACCGAACCGACUACCGUUGAAAAGUUAGCGGAUGACCUGUGGAUCGGAGUGAAAGGCUAAUCAAGCUCGGAGAUAGCUGGUUCUCCUCGAAAGCUAUUUAGGUAGCGCCUCAUGUAUCACUGUAGGGGGUAGAGCACUGUUUCGGCUAGGGGGUCAUCCCGACUUACCAAACCGAUGCAAACUCCGAAUACCUACAAGUGCCGAGCAUGGGAGACACACGGCGGGUGCUAACGUCCGUCGUGAAAAGGGAAACAACCCAGACCGUCAGCUAAGGUCCCAAAGUUAUGGUUAAGUGGGAAACGAUGUGGGAAGGCUUAGACAGCUAGGAGGUUGGCUUAGAAGCAGCCACCCUUUAAAGAAAGCGUAAUAGCUCACUAGUCGAGUCGGCCUGCGCGGAAGAUGUAACGGGGCUCAAACCAUACACCGAAGCUACGGGUAUCACGUAAGUGAUGCGGUAGAGGAGCGUUCUGUAAGCCUGUGAAGGUGAGUUGAGAAGCUUGCUGGAGGUAUCAGAAGUGCGAAUGCUGACAUGAGUAACGACAAUGGGUGUGAAAAACACCCACGCCGAAAGACCAAGGUUUCCUGCGCAACGUUAAUCGACGCAGGGUUAGUCGGUCCCUAAGGC